UGGUGUAAGGGUUCACCAACAAACAGUUGGUCCACAUAAGGACGGCGGCUAAUAAGGUCUGUGGGUCUGUGAGCGGAGAGCAGGAGCCUCGGUUACGCCUGCAUAUGUGCACAAAGCCGGGGAAGGACGUUGACACUCACCUGCCCCCCCUAUUCCCUCUCCCCGCCAAUGAUAGCAGCUUGAUCGGGCAGGAAUCCAUUUGCAACCUCAUCACUUUCCCCCCGGCCUGAACAACGGCGCCGAUUGUUCAAACCACCCGUCUAAUGGAGAAGGCCCAAGAAAACCUGGCCUCUUACCCCCUGGCUGCCUGUGUAUCUUUUCUAUCGGGUCUACGACUUGAGACGGAGGGCAGACCUCUGCAAAGUAAACCCCCUCCCGAUUGUCACCUCCCUCUCUCUGCUCCCAGGACAUCAACAGGCUCCAUUUGUAGCAAAUUUGUUCCCCAAGCUUUCUUUAAUUGACCGACUUUGGCACUAACAAGGAGCUGAUUGAGCUCAAUAAAAACACUGUCUGCUUACGAGAGGUCCGUUCCCCACCUUGGAAGUCAACCGGUAGCUUUGCAGUAACUGUCUUUAUCAUUUUCAGAUGAAGCAUUUUUUCUCUUUGGUUUGAUGGAGCAGCUUUCUAACAGAGUUGAGGGUUUGCAGGUAAUGGAAGAAAAAAAAGAGGGAACAGAAAGAGAGGCAAUUAUUCUGAGUUAGUGAGAAGGGGCUGCCAUCGAUGGCCGUGGCUGAACCUGGCUUUUCUUUAUAUCUGCUUGAUGAAUGUGAUGCUUGGCCACCACAAUUAGACAAGAUUGUUUACUAUAUAACCUUAUAAUCAACCUGGCUUGGUUGACAGCUCACCAUUACCCCCUGAUAACAUGUCUGCCACAAUCUGGGCCCAG